AGAGUUUGAUCAUGGCUCAGAUUGAACGCUGGCGGCAGGCCUAACACAUGCAAGUCGAGCGGUAGCACAGAGAGCUUGCUCUCGGGUGACGAGCGGCGGACGGGUGAGUAAUGUCUGGGAAGCUGCCUGAUGGAGGGGGAUAACUACUGGAAACGGUAGCUAAUACCGCAUAACGUCGCAAGACCAAAGUGGGGGACCUUCGGGCCUCAUGCCAUCAGAUGUGCCCAGAUGGGAUUAGCUAGUAGGUGGGGUAACGGCUCACCUAGGCGACGAUCCUUAGCUGGUCUGAGAGGAUGACCAGCCACACUGGAACUGAGACACGGUCCAGACUCCUACGGGAGGCAGCAGUGGGGAAUAUUGCACAAUGGGCGCAAGCCUGAUGCAGCCAUGCCGCGUGUGUGAAGAAGGCCUUCGGGUUGUAAAGCACUUUCAGCGGGGAGGAAGGCGUUAAGGUUAAUAACCUUGUCGAUUGACGUUACCCGCAGAAGAAGCACCGGCUAACUCCGUGCCAGCAGCCGCGGUAAUACGGAGGGUGCAAGCGUUAAUCGGAAUUACUGGGCGUAAAGCGCACGCAGGCGGUCUGUCAAGUCGGAUGUGAAAUCCCCGGGCUCAACCUGGGAACUGCAUUCGAAACUGGCAGGCUAGAGUCUUGUAGAGGGGGGUAGAAUUCCAGGUGUAGCGGUGAAAUGCGUAGAGAUCUGGAGGAAUACCGGUGGCGAAGGCGGCCCCCUGGACAAAGACUGACGCUCAGGUGCGAAAGCGUGGGGAGCAAACAGGAUUAGAUACCCUGGUAGUCCACGCCGUAAACGAUGUCGAUUUGGAGGUUGUGCCCUUGAGGCGUGGCUUCCGGAGCUAACGCGUUAAAUCGACCGCCUGGGGAGUACGGCCGCAAGGUUAAAACUCAAAUGAAUUGACGGGGGCCCGCACAAGCGGUGGAGCAUGUGGUUUAAUUCGAUGCAACGCGAAGAACCUUACCUGGUCUUGACAUCCACAGAACUUAGCAGAGAUGCUUUGGUGCCUUCGGGAACUGUGAGACAGGUGCUGCAUGGCUGUCGUCAGCUCGUGUUGUGAAAUGUUGGGUUAAGUCCCGCAACGAGCGCAACCCUUAUCCUUUGUUGCCAGCGGUUAGGCCGGGAACUCAAAGGAGACUGCCAGUGAUAAACUGGAGGAAGGUGGGGAUGACGUCAAGUCAUCAUGGCCCUUACGACCAGGGCUACACACGUGCUACAAUGGCAUAUACAAAGAGAAGCGACCUCGCGAGAGCAAGCGGACCUCAUAAAGUAUGUCGUAGUCCGGAUUGGAGUCUGCAACUCGACUCCAUGAAGUCGGAAUCGCUAGUAAUCGUAGAUCAGAAUGCUACGGUGAAUACGUUCCCGGGCCUUGUACACACCGCCCGUCACACCAUGGGAGUGGGUUGCAAAAGAAGUAGGUAGCUUAACCUUCGGGAGGGCGCUUACCACUUUGUGAUUCAUGACUGGGGUGAAGUCGUAACAAGGUAACCGUAGGGGAACCUGCGGUUGGAUCACCU
rnacentral:rRNA from 1 species